GUUUUUGCAUAACCAUCCAACAUGUUGUCCUAAGCUGAAGAUGAGACUUAAUGAAAGAUUUCUUUUUUUGAUGAACAACAGACAGAGGGGAUCAUUGACAGAAUUAAAAGAGUCACACAGAUGGACAUGACAGAAUUAAGUAAUACAUCCUACGUUCUGGAAGUUCUAACUCCUGAGGUAUCCCUCUUCAUCCUAAAAAAGACGGAGGGCUUCCAUAGGUUCAAGGCAGAAAUGGCUUUGCAAACAAAGGGACAUUUAGAGUAAAUGUGUUAAAGUGGCUUUUUUAAAUUAAAUUUUUCUUGAUUUUAAUGUUCCCUUUAGUCAUGUUCAUUCUAUGUAUUUUAUAAGCCUAAACAUACUUCUAAUCUUUCUCUUUUACAGAGUAUCCUCAGAUUCUGAUCCAAAGUGGUUUUGAUGGCAACACUGUUGUAUGCCUCUUGUCAUAUUACAUUAUAUUCCUGACUUUCUUCUCUGUGUGCCCUUACCUGUUAUCGUUAUUGUGUUUGUUGUAUGGUUAAGUCUAAAAAAUAAACAAAUAAAAAGGUAUUUUUUAAU